rnacentral:rRNA from 1 species
UGUAAGCGUAUACCAAAGUUGUUGCAGUUAAAACGCUCGUAGUCGGAAUUUGGCAGUUCCGGAUGUGUGCACGUCGUGUGCGCACUUCGCGGGGAUUGCUUUUGUGGUCUUGCGUAGGAUGAGGCACUUUUAUUAGUGAACGUCCUCACGAAACCACUUUUUACUGUGAGAAAAUCAGAGUGCUCAAAGCAGGCAUUUGCCGUGAAUGUAUUAGCAUGGAAUAAUAGAAUAGGACUUGGUUCUAUUUUGUUGGUUUGUUGGGACUGAGUAAUGAUUAAGAGGGACAGUUGGGGGCAUUUGUAUUUCGGUGCUAGAGGUGAAAUUCUUAGAUUACCGAAAGACAAACUGCUGCGAAAGCGUCUGCCAAGGAUGUUUUCAUUGA